rnacentral:lncRNA from 1 species
AGGAAAUUCAAAAAGGAAAGUCCCUAAUCAAAAGCUAAAACACGUUAAAUGAAUGGAUUACAACUUUAAUUACACUGACUUGGUGAAGCAAAGAACUAUUUUUUAAAGUGAUUAAAAUAAAUUACGAAUAGUGGAUUAACAGUUGUGGUUUACCAAAAUUUAGAAUGACAAUUCGAAUGUGAAUGAAAUCAAGUUCAGACUUUAUAUACGUUACAAGAAGGACUUUCAACCUGAACACUAUGUUAUUAACAGUAUGCCACACCACUUAUGUAGUUAUUUAUGUAAACUAAGAUGUUGAACUUUACCUUUAUUUGUCGAGAUGGGUCGUUAUAUGAAACCACC